CGACACCAACAAACUUUUUACAUUUAAACUACAUGAUGAAGCGGCUUUAUGUGACGCACUAAUGUCAAUUUUUUGGACGCUAGUGCGUUGGUUUUUUCUCGAUAAAAUUGUUUGUCGGUGCUUAUGGGAGGUGGGCAGGAGGCCAUGGAAGUGACCACAGGAUUGGCAAGUUUGAGGCCAGCUUCUACCAAGCUGUGUACGAGGAGGAGUUUGGCAGGAGUCAAAGGUCAUCCACCCUGACAAGAAAAGUGCAAUGGAGGAGAAGACUUGUGAAUACAGCAGCUAGGACUGUGCCAGGGAGAGUGGAGAAGCAACUAUUUGAAGCAGAUCCUUCAGCGUGGAGCCAGACUGGGCAGCUUCAACGUCAGCAUUAAAAGGCAUGGUGUUGGUGGC